UACGGGGGGUGCGAGCGUUGUCCGGAAUCACUGGGCGUAAAGGGCGCGUAGGUGGUUUGAUAAGGGUGUGGUGAAAGUCCGGGGCUCAACCCCGGAUCUGCCGUGCCGACUGUCAAACUCGAGGGCUGUAGAGGCAGACGGAAUUCCGGGUGUAGCGGUGGAAUGCGUAGAGAUCCGGAGGAAGACCGGUGGCGAAGGCGGCACGCUGGACCUCUUCUGACGCUGAGGCGCGAAAGCCAGGGGAGCAAACGGG
rnacentral:rRNA from 1 species